rnacentral:siRNA from 1 species
AUGCUAUAUGAAACUUCCGAGG